GAGAGACCAGAGAAGAAAUGGAACAAAGAAAAAAACAACUUUGAGCG
rnacentral:rRNA from 1 species